GCAACGAAGUUGAAGAUCGCCAAAAACUUCAAGGAAGUACAGCCAGAAGAAGUUGACAUUUGUGUGCAAGGGAAUACAAACUUGAAGAAACAGGGAAGCAAUAGUUCAAACUACGAGCUAAGCAUUCAGUGCGCCCAAAGGGAAGUACAAAGAAGUUUGAUGUGUGAGACGCCACAGCCCCCAAAACCAGUUGAGGAGAUUGUUGAUUUGACAACACCUGAAGUUUAAAUGUCAACUGGGUGGAAUCACAGGCAAACUUGCUACUCACCAUGCAAAAAUAAUAACGAGUACACAGCCGAGACUCCCCCACUCAAAAUGAAGAAGGAAAAAGGUUAGGUUAUUUGCAGAGGACGAAAGUUGUCAACAAGAAUCCAGUGGUAGCAAAAGGAAUCCAGUACAAGUAAUGGAAGAAAAAACUUCAGGACAACUCAAAAUUCAUGGAUAAAACAUGUUUAGGCAAGAGCGCAGCACAUUGGUCAACAUAACUGAUGAUUUUUACAACACAAACUCUCGUUAGGAAGGCCAAGCAGUUUUCAUGGAAAAGAAAAUGCACCACCAAAGAGGAUUGUCCAACCAAGCAGGUACCGUAGCUCACCGUACGACUACAGCGAAAGGGGCCCAAUAAUGCCACACGAGAGAAAGAUGUAUGAGAACAUAACAUUCCUGGCCAAUGUUGAAGGAUCCAAACCUACAGUUUUGAUUGGCAAAACCAUUGCCACAUUUGGACAGUUGGGUAACUCGAUGAAAAUAGGUGGCCGGGUCCAGGCCUAUGUCAUAAAUGUGUACUGUAGGCACCUAUUUAAUGAAAAUCAUCCUAGGAACUCACUCAAGCACUAUUUCUUCCACACUGCAUCUGAAUAUUUCCUGGGCAAAUGGAAAAAUGAUGAGGCAAGAAUUUGGUGGAGGAAGAAACUGAUUCGAGUUUCAUUGGAGCUGGAAAAGCACAUAAUCUUUCGAUGUCAGACAAGGUUUUUUGUCAAACUUCUUCUUUUCAUUUUUCCACAACACAAGUUCAGCUAUAAUUUAGUUUAGUGUUUUUUCCUUAUUUCAAUAUACACUAACUUAUUAUCUAUAUUUUCCCUUUUCUGCAUCAACUCCAAAAUGGAUGUACACAAGUUGUAAUUUCCAACACUACACGAGGAACAUUACUUACUGUUCGUCGUCAACAUCAAGGGUCGCACAUUUUAUUUUCUAGAUUCUUUCUAUGAUGAGAAGAGCUCAUAUCAUAUGAACAUAAAAAAGAAGAUUAUCUCAAGCUUUAUAUGCACUUGGUACGAAGCUCGGCUCCAGCCAAUGGAUUUCAAUGCAUUCCCUGCUGUUUACCCUAAAGUCCCUCAACAAGAUAACAAUAUUGAUUGUGGCAUUUUCACUAUGAAACUAAUGGGAUGGUGCCCAAGGAAUCCAACCCCUAUAGUUUUUUCACCAAAAGAUGUCCCAGAUGCAAGGAUCCGAUAUGCUGUUGAUCUCAUGUUCAGCCACUACAACACUUUGGAUGACGAGAAGAAGCGUGUGAAGGAGUUUCGCCUAUAGACAUGAAAAAGUGCUGACAGCUCCUAAAAGACACCACUCAUAGAUGAUAAGAGGAGUUGUAUCAAGAGUCAUAUCAGCAAAAUCAAAGGAAAGAGGAGCUGCAUCAAACACAUAGUUAGCAAUUGUUAAACAUUUUCGAGAUGUUUUUCUAUUUUUUGUAUGAACAGAGAAUGUAGACCCUUCUUGUUGUUGUAGAUAUAUAUAUGCCCCCUC